rnacentral:rRNA from 1 species
AGAACGAACGCUGGCGGCAGGCUUAACACAUGCAAGUCGAACGCCCCGCAAGGGGAGUGGCAGACGGGUGAGUAACACGUGGGAACAUACCCUUCGGUUCGGAACAACGUUUGGAAACGAACGCUAAUACCGGAUACGGCCUAUGGGCGAAAGAUUCAUCGCCGAAGGAUUGGCCCGCGUUCGAUUAGCUUGAUGGUGAGGUAACGGCUCACCAUGGCGACGAUCGAUAGCUGGU